rnacentral:rRNA from 1 species
UACGAAGGGGGCUAGCGUUGUUCGGAAUUACUGGGCGUAAAGCGCACGAGGCGGAUUGUUAAGUUAGGGGUGAAAUCCCAGGGCUCAACCCUGGAACUGCCUUUAAUACUGGCAAUCUCGAGUCCGAGAGAGGUGAGUGGAAUUCCGAGUGUAGAGGUGAAUUCGUAGAUAUUGGGAAGAACACCGGUGGCGAAGGCGGCUCUCUGGACCGAUACGUGACGCUGAGGCGCGAAAGCGUGGGGAGCAAACAGG